rnacentral:rRNA from 1 species
GACGAACGCUGGCGGCAUGCCUAACACAUGCAAGUCGAGCGAGCAGAUCCCUUCGGGGUGAAGCUAGCGGCGGACGGGUGAGUAACACGUUGGCAACCUGCCUCAUAGAGGGGAAUAGCCUUCCGAAAGGAAGAUUAAUACCGCAUAAGAUUGUAGCUUCGCAUGAAGUAGCAAUUAAAGGAGUAAUCCACUAUGAGAUGGGCCCGCGGCGCAUUAGCUAGUUGGUGAGGUAACGGCUCGCCAAGGCGACGAUGCGUAGCCGACCUGAGAGGGUGAUCGGCCACAUUGGGACUGAGACACGGCCCAGACUCCUACGGGAGGCAGCAGUGGGGAAUAUUGCACAAUGGGGGAAACCCUGAUGCAGCAAUGCCGCGUGAGUGAUGACGGCCUUCGGGUUGUAAAGCUCUGUCUUCGGGGACGAUAAUGACGGUACCCGAGGAGGAAGCCACGGCUAACUACGUGCCAGCCGCCGCGGUAA